CACGUAGGGGGCGAGCGUUGUCCGGAUUUAUUGGGCGUAAAGAGCUUGUAGGCGGUUUGUCGCGUCUGCUGUGAAAAUCCGGGGCUCAACCCCGGACUUGCAGUGGGUACGGGCAGACUAGAGUGCGGUAGGGGAGAUUGGAAUUCCUGGUGUAGCGGUGGAAUGCGCAGAUAUCAGGAGGAACACCGAUGGCGAAGGCAGAUCUCUGGGCCGUAACUGACGCUGAGGAGCGAAAGCGUGGGGAGCGAACAGG
rnacentral:rRNA from 1 species